CUGUGUGCAGUCUCAGCUAGAUAAGGUCUGCAGAAGUGUUUCAAGAGUGAGUUCCUGGCAAGUGUAUAUGACAUUUAAAGAGAUAUUUUCUAUAUCAGAAAUUUACUGCAUGACUCUUCAGCACUCCCUACUGGAGGAUUGGCAUUUCAUCAUGGAACUUCAGGACAUCCAUGUAUGAAUGAUCUGUGCAUUUGUCACACAGAACUCCCUGAAGAUUCAGCUCUCUGACCAGGAAUAUGCUGAUUGUGUUGUAAAGAGGGGCCAUCCACCCAGCACAGGCAGGCAGGAUGAAGGUGCAUCCUAUGUGAAAUUGGUAAUUGUGGACUAUGACUGGACUUCAACAGUAACUCAGGAAAUACUGAAUAAAACAGAAGACUUCCAACUCUGUCCCAAAAUGACCCAAAAUGUGGCUAUCAGGUCAAAGGCAGGAGACUGGACACACAGAACUCUAGCCUGAAGCAAGAAACCACUGGCACACUAGACAUUCACAGCCAGGAAAAUGGGAGGAAUGAAGGAGCUGGAGAUAUAGACCAGCGCACAGUGUGAAGUGAGGGCUGUGGAAAGAUAGACUGGACAUGUAUUUUGUCUCUGCAUGGAGUCUCAUCUCUGCUGAGAUGAGGGAUCAGAAACAGAGUGAAAUUCACCAUUUCAAACCCUCUGGGGCAAGUGGAGAAGAUACAAGUCCUCAGGGUCACACUAAUGGACUCUUCAUUGUCACAGCCCAGGCUCCAGAGCUACAAAGAGAAGAGAGGCAAAAGAGCCCAUCAGUCAUUGAAGGCCAUGAGAGGAAGAAUGGGAAGAUGAGGACAGGAAUUUACAAAAGUCAUCAAAGACAGUCGAAACACAGUAAAGAGAUGUAAUACAAACAAGUAAAUGGAAAUAAAGGUGGGGAAAAUUCUUGGAAAAUUUGUUGAUAUGGCUCAGAAAUGUUCUGUGAGCAUCAGAUCAAUCCUGAUGACCUGCUUCGCCUAAUUUCUUCUAGAAGCAGA